rnacentral:rRNA from 1 species
AUCAUCAAAUCUUUGAACGCACCUUGCACCUUUUGGUAUUCCAAAAGGCACACCUGUUUGAGUGUCAUGAAAUCUUAUCAUUUCUCAAUUUAUUAUUUAAAUUUGAUAAAUGAAUUUUGAGUGUUGCAAUUCUUUUAUGCUCACUUUAAAUAUAUAAGUCUUCUCCUUUAUUAAAAUUGGAUUGACCAUAAUGUGAUAUAUGUCUUCAUUAUGGAAAAGCAUUGGUUCAAUGCUGCCAGAUUUAAUUUAAAGUACAAAUAAGGCUCUAUAACCUCAACUUUUUUUAACAUUUUAUACAAUGCUUUAAAAAAUUAUCAUUAAGACCUCAAAUCAGGUGGGACUACCCGCUGAACUUAAGCAUAUCAAUAAGCGGAGGAAAAGAAACUAACCAGGAUUCCCC